AAUCCAUAGGUUAAUGAGGCGAACCGGGGGAACUGAAACAUCUAAGUACCCCGAGGAAAAGAAAUCAACCGAGAUUCCCCCAGUAGCGGCGAGCGAACGGGGAGGAGCCCAGAGCCUGAAUCAGCAUGUGUGUUAGUGGAAGCGUCUGGAAAGGCGCGCGAUACAGGGUGACAGCCCCGUACACAAAAGCGCAUGUGCUGUGAGCUCGAUGAGUAGGGCGGGACACGUGGUAUCCUGUCUGAAUAUGGGGGGACCAUCCUCCAAGGCUAAAUACUCCUGACUGACCGAUAGUGAACCAGUACCGUGAGGGAAAGGCGAAAAGAACCCCGGCGAGGGGAGUGAAAAAGAACCUGAAACCGUGUACGUACAAGCAGUGGGAGCACAGGUUUACCUGUGUGACUGCGUACCUUUUGUAUAAUGGGUCAGCGACUUAUAUUCUGUAGCAAGGUUAACCGUAUAGGGGAGCCGCAGGGAAACCGAGUCUUAA
rnacentral:rRNA from 1 species